GGCGCUGUGUGUGCUUAGGGCUCGGCGCCCUCUGCCUGCAUCCCCUCUGAGCUCCCCCAGGGAUGGGAAUCCCAGCUCUGUCAGUGCAUCACCACCUUCUGGAGAAGAAAUGUAGCCCAAUACCCGACCUAAACCUCCCCUGUUAGAAAUAAAGCCACUACCUCUCUUAUCAAUAUUGGCGGACACGAGGUUUCCAUAAUAGUUAAGAGCUUUCAACGUUACACGGGUUUGUUAACUCUUUGCUUCCUUCCAGGAUGCUUUAUAACGAAAACGUCACCUAUGUGUUGCACCAGCUGUUGCAGUUGCAGAAAGUCUUUCCUGAAUUUAUAUUGAGCAUAGCAGCAAAGAGAAUAAUGGUACCAUGAAAAUUCCAUGGAUGUGUUUUGUUUGAACGCAGCUGAGGCUUUCUGUUUACACCAAGUGAUGUGGUUCUCUGAUACGUCAUUAUUUUGGUAAAUUAGGAGUAUAACAACACUGUUUGUUGGAAACUCGGAGCUGAUAAGCUACAGCUUCUUGGCAGUGACUUUUCCAGAAAUGCAGAAGAAAUCUCCUAAUUCUGCAGUUUUUUUGUGACACGGCUGAUCAGAUCACAGAAAAUUUCUGGCUUACUUGGUACUGCAUGUAACAUUUGGACACAACUUUAACUUCUAACAAAAUUAUGCUGGGAGUGGUACCUAGUACUUCAGUCUCACUAAAUAUAUGGGCGUACCUUGUUGUCUACCAUCUUCCUUGAAGCCAGCAACAGUAACUCCUGGAUGUUGCAGUCUGGUAUACAAGAAAGAAAUUUUCUGUACUUGUCUAUUUGUGUCUUAAGAGGCAUGUUUUAAGGCUGCCUCCUCUUGUGGCUGAGGAUUGUAUUGUAUGUUUCACAGAGACACGCAAAAUCCUGUAUUUUCUUCAUUCUCUGUCAUCUUUGAAACUGCCCCAGCUGAAGACAGCUAUUGCAAUCACACAGUUAAUGUGAUGGAAAUAGAUCUACGCUGCCAACCGUGAUCUAAUGCCUUUGCUGAACUAUGCUGAUUUAUCACCUCUGUCGCCACACUCAGCUCUGACUGAUUACACAGCAUGUAGUUUGGGAAGGAUGGAAUUGGAAAGCCAGCACAUUCUCUAGCGACCAAAACUGACUCAAUGCCCCAACUAGUAACAAUGACCUUUCCAUGGAAUCAUCUCUCUCUUAGCAUUACCUCUCAGUUCUUGGAAAAAGAUUGACCGAAAGGAGGAGCUGAGCAACAGCCGUGUCAUUUCAUGAGUAACCAUUUGAAAAUAACUAAGAAUCACUCAGCAUUCCUCGGAGAAUCUUCCUUCAAAUUGACACCUGCCUUAAAAUCACAGAUCUAACAGACCAUUCUGACACACGUGGUUUUCUUACCGUGCACCUUCAUGCAAAAUUCAAGAGCAAGCUUCGCUGUUAUUAAAUUAUGUAUGUUCAGAGGAAGACUAUCCUUCAGCAGUCUUUGAUCUGUAUUUCUGGUCUGGUAUCAUCUGAAGAAUAAUUUACAGUCUGUCUUAAGUGCAGACGUAACCAGAGAUUAAUCAAGUGCAUUUUGUUUAACUGUAGUCU